rnacentral:rRNA from 1 species
AGAAUCAACGCUGGCGGCGUGCCUAACACAUGCAAGUCGAACGCGAAAGGGACUUCGGUCCUGAGUAGAGUGGCGAACGGGUGAGUAACGCGUGGGUGACCUACCCUCGAGUGGGGGAUAACGUUCCGAAAGGGACGCUAAUACCGCAUGACAUUCCGGGUUUGAAGACCUGGAAAUCAAAGCCGGGGACCGCAAGGCCUGGCGCUCGAGGAGGGGCCCGCGUCUGAUUAGCUAGUUGGCGGGGUAAUGGCCCACCAAGGCGACGAUCAGUA